rnacentral:rRNA from 1 species
GACGAACGCUGGCGGCGGGCUUAACACAUGCAAGUCGAACGGAAAGGCCCUGCUUUUGUGGGGUGCUCGAGUGGCGAACGGGUGAGUAACACGUGAGUAACCUGCCCUUGACUUUGGGAUAACUUCAGGAAACUGGGGCUAAUACCGGAUAGGAGCCCCUGCUGCAUGGUGGGGGUUGGAAAUUUUCGGCGGUUGGGGAUGGAUUCGCGGCUUAUGAGCUUGUUGGUGGGGUAGUGGCUUACCAAGGCUUUGACGGGUAGCCGGCCUGGGAGGGUGGCCGGCCACCUUAGGACUGAGAUACGGACCAGACUCCUACGGGAGGCAGCAGUGGGGAGUAUUGCACAAUGGGCGGAAGCCUGAUGCAGCAACGCCGCGUGCGGGAUGACGGCCUUCGGGUUGUGAACCGCUUUCGCCUGUGACGAAGCGUGAGUGACGGUAAUGAGUAAAGAAGCACCGGCUAACUACGUG